AAAGUGGUGGUUCAGUAGUUAAAGCUCUGAGCUGCUAAUCAGAAGGUUGUGGGUUCAAAUCCUCCCCCCUGAA